CAACUAUCAACAACUAUCAAGUUCAAAAAAAAAAAAAAAUUUACCAACCGUCCCUAGAGUAAGUAGCAAAGAAUUUGAUGAUUGGUAUUCGAGACUCAAGUUUGAUUCUAAUUGAUUCACAUUUCCAGCUAUAUUUAUUUCUAAAAUGGAAUAAACAAAACGGAUAGUGUGCUAUCUAUCUCUCAAAAAAAAAAAAAAAAACUUCUAGAAAAAAGUUUAGAGCUGAUGUGCCGUCCCCAACUAAUCAGAUUCAUCUCCUCAAAUUCAACUUAUUCUAUCAUACAAAGGGUAAACUUCGAAUACCCCUAUUGUGGUUUUACAUUUUUUCACUUUAAUAUCUUGUGGUUUAAAGUAUAUUAAGUUAGCUUCUAUAGUUUCGCAUUUUUUCACCUUAAUACCUUGUGGUUUAAAAUAUAUCAAGUUAGUACCAUGUGGUUUUAUUUAUUUUUUUAUUAUCCACUUCACUAUUUUUCUUGUUAAAUCAGUGACAAAAUUAAAACUAAAUGGUACUAAAGUGAAUAUUCGAUAAACCUAGGUAGGAUAUCUGAAGUUUUUUGUAUAUAAUUUAACCAAAUAUUAAUGGGAAAAAAAUUAAUCAAAAACAAAGUAAAAACUAAAGGAUACUAAAGUAAAUAUUCGAUAAACCUAGAUAGGGUAUCUGAAGUUUUUUAUAUAUACGUUAACGAAAUAUUAAUAGGGGAGCCAAUGAAAAGAAAAAAAAUGAAACCACAGGGUACUAAAUUGAUGCACUUUAAACCACAUGGUACUAAAAUAAGAAAGUGUGAAACCACAUGUUACUAAAUUAGUGCAUUUUAAAUCAUAGAGUAUUAAUGUGAAAAAGUACGAAACCACGAGGGUGGUAUUGGAAGUUUUUCCAAAAAAAAAAUAUUCUACUUUGCUCUUAAAAAAAAAAAGUGAUUGGCUGGAAAUAGAUAAUGUGAUAUAAGUAUUACAAUAUAGGCUUUCUCCUACUUCUAUAUGCUUUCACAUUAUUUUUCGGCUUAAUUAAAAAUAAUAAUAAUAAUAACUUUUGUACAUUAGUUGGUAAUUCAAUAUUUUUUGUAUAAAAAAUUUAAAUAAAAUUUAUCCUAUAUUUUAGUCUUGUGUCAAAUAAAUUUAAUAAUUUGAAAAUUUUGUUAAUUUUUGACAAAAAUGUUAACGGUGAUGAUGUAAUAUCCUUAUACCUUUUUCUCUCUCCUUUUUUUUUCUCUCGUUCUUUUUUUCUUUCUCUUUCAAGAGAGCGGCCUCGCCCGCAGACUCCCGCACCUUCCUCGUCUCCGACUCUCCUCCACCGUUUCCAACGACGAUGCCUCUCUCGCCCUUCCCCGUCCUUCUCGUCCUCUACCUCUUCUUCCUUCUCUGCCGCCUUCGAUGACGACGCAUCUUCGCCGGCGCCGACAAUAUGCCGGCGCAUCCUAACCCUCGCCUACACACCCGUGCACCUUCCUCGCCUCCGACCCUGCCGAGGCCGCGUCGCGACUCUUUUUUUUUCCUCUUCGACUCUCCUCCACUAUCUCCGACGACAAUGCUUCUCUUACCUUUCUCCGUCCUUCUCGUCCUCUCCCUCUCCCUCCUCCUCUGCCGCCUCUGACGACGAUGCAUCUCCGCCGGCGCCGACGCCGACGCCGGCACCGACACCGUGGAGGUCACUGCGGCGCUGCAGCCUCACAGCGGGGGGGUCUAAGCGGCAUCGUCGCCAGCGCCGUGGAGAGGGGUGACAAAAAGAAAUUAUAAAAGAAGCAAGAAAAAAAAUAAAAAUAAAAAAUUAUAGAAAAAGAAGGAUGAAGAUGAAAUUGCAUUGUUAAUUGCAAAAAAAAAUUAUAAGUUGCACUACUUAAGAUGUAAAAUACAGGUUUAAGAUAAAAAUUACACUCUUUAAACGAAAAUUACACUCUUUGGGAGAUAUUUACACAGUUUCUUCUCUUAUUGCACUCUUUCAGAUGUAAACUGCACCCACUAAGAUAAAAAUUACACUCUUUAAACGAAAGUUGUACUGUUUCUCCUCUUGUUGCAUCAUUUCUCCUCUUAUUACACUAUUUUUUAUCUUAAACUGCACUCAUUUAAGAGAUAUUUAUACUGUUUCUCCUCUUGUUGCACUGUUUUUUCCCUUGUUGCACUAUUUCUUCUCUUGUUACACUGUUUCUCCUCUUAAAGGGUGCAGUUUAAGAUAAAAAUAGUGUAACAAGAGGAGAAAUAAUGCAACAAGAGGAGAAACAAUGCAACAAGAGGAGAAACAGUAUAAAUAUCUCUUAAAGGGUGCAGUUUAAGAUAAAAAAUAGUGUAACAAGAGGAAAAAUAAUGCAACAAAAGGAGAAACAGUGCAAUUUUCAUUUAAAAAGUGUAACUUUCAUCUUAAUGGAUGUAGUUUAUAUUUGAAAGAGUGCAAUAAGAGGAGAAACAGUGUAAAUAUCUCCCAAAGAGUAUAAUUUUUGUUUAAAAAGUGUAAAUUUCAUCUUAAAGCUGCAGUUUACAUUUUAAGUAGUGCAACUUAUAAUUUUUUUUUGCAAUUAACAAUGCAAUUUCAUCUUCAUCCUUCUUUUUCUAUAAUUUUUUAUUUUUAUUUUUUUUCUUGCUUCUUUUAUAAUUCUUUUGGUUACCCCUUUCUGCCAACGGCCACGGCGCAGGCGACGAUGCCGCUAAGGACCCCCCGCUCCGAGGCUGCAACGCCGCAGUGACCUCCACGGUGUCGACGCCGGCGCCGAGAUGCAUCGUCGUUGGAGGCGGCAGAGGAAGAAGGAGAGGGAGAGGACGAGAAGGGAGGAGGAGGGCAAGAGAGGCGUCGUAAUCGGAAACAGUGGAGGAGAGUCGAAGAGGAAAAAAAAAAAAAGUCGCGACGUGGCCUCGGCAGGGUCGGAGGCGAGGAAGCUGCAGGGGUGUGCAUGCGAGGGUAAGGAUGCGCCGGCAUAUUAUCGGCGCAGACGAAGAUGCGUCGUCGUCGGAGACAGCAGAGAAGGAAGGAGAGGGAGAGGACGAGAAGGACGGGGAAGGGCGAGAGAGGCAUCGUUGUCAGAAACGGUGGAGGGGAGUCGGAUAGGAAAAAAAAAAGUCACGGUGCGGCAGGGUCGGAGACGAGGAAGGUGUGGGGGUGUGCGGGCGAGGGUAAGGAUGCACCAGACAAGCCGCCUCCUCUGCCUUCGCCGCUCUCUGGAAAGAGAAAGAAAAAAAGAACGAAAAAAAAAAAAGAGGAGAUAGAAAAAGGUAUAAUGAUAUUUUGGUCAGUUUGCUGAAAAAGCGAACCGAAUUUGCAAAAAUGAAAAACGUGGCCCGAUUUUACAAAAGCCCAAAAUAAGUAAAUUUUUUAUGCAAAUUAGCCUAUAUUUUUUUAUAAUUUCUCUUGAAUUCGACAUUAAAGGUGUGCCUGAAGAAGCUUGUAUGCAUUUAAAAAUAUGUUAUCUCAACAUGCAAUUGUUAAAAUUACUCAAAAAAAAAUCCUAAUAGUAGGGCUUAUUUAAAACAUAACUAAAAUGCUGGAUUUGAUAUUGUUUAAAUUUUUUAUGCAAUGGAUAUUUGAGACACGGGGUAAGGUGCAUGAAAUUUUUUGAUAAUCAAGACUUAUUUAUAAUAAUGACAUUUGUAAAUCAAGAAUUGACACCAUUAAACAUUAUUUACAUAUCGUAAACUUUCUAAAAGUAAAAUUUUAUUUUAUUUUUUUUGGAGGAAUGGGUAGCAGGCUACCCGCUUCAUUAAAUGAAAAGGUGAAUUAAGCUACAUGGGUGAGGCAAUAUGGCCUCCGGAGGCGCGAAAAAAAAAAAAAAAAAAAAAAAAAAAAAAAAAAAAAAAAAAAAAGCUGAAGUAAAUAGGGUUUAGUAGCUAGAAACUAAGAAGCAGAGAAGGACAUCUCCCACAGUUUGUACAGCUAUAAUAUCUUAGAGACCGCUAGGAUAGGAUCCGUCUGGGUAUGACGAAAUAUUACCGCGUUCAUGAUUUUCCAAAUGACCCACCAGUCAGCUACUAGAACGUCAAGCUUUGCCUUCGAAGGCAUGCUAGACCUAGCCGCCAGACUAUCCUAGAGCGGGUGAACACCAAGUCCCAAGCCUGCAAUUUGGGUGCCUUCUAGUGUCAUCACUAAGAGAAAUCUAGAGUAGACACAUCAGGAGAAAAGAUGGUCCGCUGUUUCCUCCUCCCCGCCGCAAAGUACGCAGACGGUAUUAGCCGUCCAUCCUCUUCUGACUAAGAUGUCGGCAGUGAGGAUUCUCUUCUUAAGAAGGAGCUAGCAGAAGACUUUCACUUUGAGGGGGACCCUCAGCUUCCAGAGUUUGGGAGCACGAGCAUCUCAUGUGCCCCUAUCACGAAGAGCGAGAUAGGUCAAUUUCACUGAGAAUCGCCCGUAAGGGCUCCAACGCUAGUGCACGCUAUCAGGUCUCGAAGCAAGACUGAAGGCAGAGACUCUCUCCCUGAGAUCUGCUAAGCUUUGUCUACGUCCUAGAUUGCUGAUUGAAUCCUCACUCGGUAUGCAAUUCCAAUCCCAGCCGUCUCUCGUCAGACAAUCACUGAUUCGCAAAUGUUUACAGGUAGCUAAUUCGUAGAUUUCUGGGAAUGACUGGACCAGAGUCUUUUCCCCACACCGGCGAUCAUGCAAGAAGUCUAGUGUAAUUCCUUCGCCCAGCUUGAAAAAGACACCCCAUUUGAAAAUAUCUUUCUGAGCGAGUACACCCCUCCACCAAAAAGAAUAAGGUCUAAAUGAAUUUCUUUCUUUCAGAGGAGUUCUACGGAGAUAGUAUAAUGCAUGGCAUGGAUAAUCUUAUUCCACUGCAAUUGGGGUGCAGUAAGUAGUUUCCACCACCAUUUGGUUAGCAGGGAGCAGUUCAUGGUUUCCAGAUCCAAAAUCCCGAGUCCUCCUUCUUUGCGCCGGCAGACUCUUUUCCAUGCGACAAGACAUCCUUUGCCUAAGUGGUCAGUUCCUCCAAUCCAGAAGAAAUCUCGACACAGGGAUUCGAUGCGGUGGAUCACCCAUUUGGGUGCCUUAAACAAGGUCAGGAGGUAUAUGGGUAGGUUGGAAGGUACUGAGUUCACUAGGAUAAGUCUGCCACCUCUGGAGGGAAGCUUUGCUUGCCAGCCGUCAAUUCUGUUAUGAACUUUUUGGAUGAUCUUCGAUCUUCGGUACAAGGCAGAUGUAGGUGAAAUCGAUUGGGUAGGUGGAUAGAUUCCCCUUCCACAUUUCCAGAAAGAUGUUCAUUAUGUCCUCCUUUACAGUAUCCCAGAAUGCUUGGUAGAAGCUUAACGGAAAUCCGUCCGGACCAGGCGCUUUAUCUUUCCCAAGGUGGAAGACCGCGUUCCUAAUUUCCGCAAGCUGGAAAGGUCUAGUUAGGGUCGAUAGUUUAGCUGCUGAAACACUAUUCUCCUAGAAAAGAUCCUUUCAAUCCCCAACAGACUUAGGGGCUAGCACCUCUGGAGUGAAACGCUCUUUGAAUUUACGGUAGAAGUAAUUCUUCUUAUCUUCUUCUCCGGUAAUGGUUAGUCCCUCAUCCACAAUCGGGCCAAUUUCACUCACUCUUCUUCUUCCGUUCGCUAUAGAAUGGAAGAAUUUGGCAUUAUCAUCUCCCUCUCUCAACCAAUGUUGUUUCGCUCUAGUUCUCCAUAGAGAUUCUUCAUCCUUUAGUACUGUAUUAAGUUUGGUUCUUAACUCCUCUCUCCUUAGGUCCUCGCUGUUAAGGUCAUCCGUUUCUUCAUCUCUAUCAAGCUUGUGCAGUUCGUUCAUGAGUCUAUUCUUUUCACCUCUAAUACUGAAAUACUGAUGUUCAAAUCCUCUCAAGCAUACUUUAUAUAUGCUCCUGAAAUAUAUUAAUUUGAGAUCAUUUGAACAAAUAACUAAAUAAUGUUAAAAAAAAAAUGAAAUUUGGUUUAUAGAAAAUAUAUCAGAUAUUAGAUGAUAAUUAACUGUGUCGAUAGUCGAUUCAUAUGCGCUUCCAUCAAAUAUGUGGUAGAAAACCAAUGGCUUUUUACUUCUAGAAGUAUUCUAGCUUAAUUCCUUUCUUUUAAUUUAUUUUCGGAUUUUUCUUUUAUCAGAUUCAUGUCCAAUUUUAAGCAAUUCUGGUCUUUUAUCUCAUCUAUCAAUUUUUUAUACGCUUUGUGUUUAUCAUACCCGAUUGUUUGAGUAACAUAUCUGAAUUCUUUGAACAGUGCGUUAGUUUGGAGAAUCCCAUAAUAAUUUUUUUAUUGCAGUGGGAGGUUUAAAUUUUUUAUUUGUCAAACUCUCUACUAAAAUAGACCAAAAAAAAUACUCGCCCCAACAAAAUAUGUUGUUGAUGUGUUGGCACGACUACCAUCUCAUUCAUUUGGUGUAGCUGAAUGAACUGAAAUAUCAGGGACUACAUCUGUAAUCAAUUCUUUUUUUCUUUUUUUUUGUAUAGUAUGUGAUUUAAUGAUAUUAAAUAUCCAUUUUUAACAUGGUAGAGAAUGGUGCUUCAAGUGCAACAUGUUAAUUUUAUUUUGAUCUUUUUUAGAUAAACCCAUAUAGAUUUUACAUAACAGAGAUUGUCUCAUCCCAUAAUCUCAUUAGAUUGGACCUCAUAGUUCUACUUAUUCCACACAAGCAUAUGCUACAGCAACAAAGAAAAAGCUAAAAUACUAAACCAAACAAAGCACCUUCUCUGUGCCUCUCAAUGGCUCAACGUUAAUAAGUGAAUAAAAUGAGUGAAUGAUGCAAUUUAUAAAUCUUUUUACAAACACUUCAAAAAAGCAACAACAUGAUAACACAACCAAUGUUAUUGCAUAACCAAUGAACUAAUCCAACAAGUUCAUGAGUUAUACAUUGAAUACUUCACAAAUUAAACAUUGACAUCGGAAAUGAGCAAGUGAUUUCACUCUUCAAAGCAAAUAAAAAAAAACAACAGCAACAACGACAUAGCACAUAAUUGAAUUUGCAUUUUAUAAGAUAGCAAAGUAAGAAAGCAAAAAUUUCGCCAAAGAUUCCAGCUGUCCACAAAACGAUCGCAGAAGAAACAAAUUGUCGCCAAAAUAACUUAACGACAAACAAUCCGCAAAAAGACAGGGCUACACGAAAGGAUGGACAUCCAUCGUCGCCAUUGACGGCUCAGAUAGGAAAUUACACGUUUUAUUGUACAAUGAUCCCGAAACUUUAUCUAGGCUCUAUAAUAUCAUGAUCAGGACAUUAUCAAACAUCUUGGCGGAUUGUUCGAAUGCUUCCAUUAUGGCAACAAUUUACUGCUCCCUCUGUGGAAACAGUUGCCCAAGCAAAUGACCUACAACUAAAUUUAUGUUAGGAGACAGACAUGUAACAUGCAAAUUGAGUGACAAUAUAGAAAUAAAUAAAGACACCAAUCAGAAAAUUUGAGUUAGGGAAAGAGAAAUUAUAGGAAGCUUGACUUGACAAGCAAAAAGCUCUUGUGUUUAUAAUCGUGUUAUAGAGGUAAUACAGGCAAAGAAAAGCACAAACAGAUUCAUUUUUAACCAUAUAUAAAGAAUUACAGAAGAUAACGGAUAUAGAAAGGUCAAGUUAGUGCACUUUCUCAUCCUCUCAUGCAUGUUAAGCUUUGCCUCAGCCCUCAGUGAAAGAUUAUAUUUUAGUAUUCUACUGUUUUGAUAAACAAUCUCACAGGUUCUAAUAGUAGUCAAUACUUAAAAACCGACGUGAAACAUUUUUCUUUUUGUCGAAAGUGCGGCAAUCUCAUUAGAUUUAGAAUGAACAUCCUUACACCUCACAUUUCUAUAUUUCAAGAGAAUGUCUUACAUUUCAAUCCCAGUUGAUGAUAUGCAGUCUUCCGAAAAAUCUAAGUUCAAUAUUUCAUUCUUGAAGACCAAAAGAACAAAUUCCAAUAACAAGUUUCUCCACGUGCAGUCUUCGAAAAACUAGUCGUCCACUGCUAUUGUGAAACAAAAAUCAAACAAAGCUGAUGAAUCUAAAUAAACAGCAUGGCAAAUAAAUAGUGGAAAAGUAAUAAGGUGCCAUUUCCCAGACGCAACUCCUAUAUAUGACUGAUCAGUUACAAAAUGGUGUAUUUUUUGUAAUACAUACACCUAACAGCCUUUUUCAUGUCUAAAGAAGAUGCCAGCCGUGGCAAGCUAACUAACAAAUAACAAGAGUAUAGAUCUGCUGGCAUGCUUUAUCACAUAAAAUUCAAGUUUAGAAAACGAGGCCUAAGUGUGAAAUUUUCAGUCUGUUCAAUGAUAGCACAUUUCAUAGGCUUGAGUACAAGAGAGUAGAGAAGUAGAAUGUACCUUAUUUCAAAACAACUUCCUUGUGAGCUUUAAACGACAGUAUAACAUUCCAAGCAAGAGCUACAAAGUUCGCGGCAAGAACCUGAUACAGAAAUCACAAAAGAUUCAGAAUCAAAGAAGACGAUUUUCAAAGGGAAAGAUACUUCAAAUCUUAUACAAAAUAUGGUUGAUUUUCAAAGCAGUAUAUACUAUUUUUUUCAUUAUUAAGAAAACUAACUGAACAAAGGCAUCCAAUGAAUAGGAAUUGUUGAUUUCGGAAAGUGAACUAACAUAUCUCUCUUCACCUUUUCCUUUCAAACAAACAAGACUAAAUUGCAAAGACAGAGUAUGGUAUUAAACCUGAAAUUUCUGUGGGACGAAGUAGAAGUUCAGAAACUGGAAUGGGAUCCACAACUGCCAAUUUGCUAGCACUGAUGAAAACCACUCCUGCAAAAGAAACAUAUUUUGGCAGAAUUACGAGUAAAGAAAGUUUCUGCUAGAGUGUUGCUUCGGCAAGCAAAUGAGGCAUAAAUCACCUGCUGAAGCUUUGGCACCACAAGGGAAGGCCUUCCCUCUAGCGUGACAAGUAAACUCAUAAAAACUCCAAUGAAGAUAGGGGAGAAGAUGAACUGUUAAAAAAAAUACAGUUCGUUAAUUUUAGGCUCAAACAAAUAAACACAUAGCACAAAAGGCAAGUCAAUUCUGCUUAUUGUGAAACAUAAGCCUACCUGAUCAAGCAAAAGGCGAACAAAUGCACCUGAUGCUCCACUCGCAGUCACCAAUUUACUCAAGUAUAAAUACCUACAAAUAGAAAUUUUCAAAUUGACAAAUUAAACUCAUAAAAUAUAAUCUCUAUAAAUAUGCAAGAAGAAAAUGAGCAGAAGAAAUCAUAGCACGAUGUCUAAUGGAUGGAUUUACAAUUUCAAAAACGAGAAGCACAUUUUCGUCAUUACCAUAUAUGCAAUGUGGGGCCCACCAAGACAAGACCCAACAAAGUGAAGACAAAAGUUCGCUUCAGAUCCAGCUUUGACACCUGAUCAAUUAGAAGCUGCCAAAAUCGGAACAAAGGGUAACAAUGUAAGAUGCUACUUGUAGUAAUUGGCAGUCAAAAACUUAAAAUUAUAUGCAUAAUAUUAUAUAAUAUCACCACAAUUUUAGUCUCAAUCCCUGCCGAAGGGUGGUUUGUCUCAAAAAAGAAAAAAAAAAAUAGAAAAGACAAAGCAAAAACAAUACAGACAGUCCUCAUAAGAUCAAUUUGGCUAAAUAUAAACCAUAGCAACUCUGCUCUAUAUCAUGCUUAUUUCUAUUAUAUAGUUGACCUACAUAGAACAAAAAUAUGUAAUUUACUGAAUUCCACUUUUAUGCUCCUUCUCUUCGCGUAAGUUAAUUAUGGAUAUCUGCAUUUUCAUUUUCUUUUAUCUUUUAUUUUUGUGGUUAAUAAGAAGAGGACUUCUUUAUUAUGAUUCCGUCAAACAAAAAUUAGCAAGUCAAACAGUUUCAAUAUGCCAUUAGAACAAUCUAUGGUUUUACCGGAAUGCUGACCAUAAAUUAACUAGGUAAUUUAGAAGCGCCAAUCUACUAACCAGGAAACAAGUGCCAUUCAGGAUGACACUGUUUCAACCCAGUUUACGAAAAAUUAUAAUCCCUAAAACAACCUUUCAAUACCAAGUAACAGCUAAAUUCUAUCUGCUGUGAAGAGGAGUCAAAUUCUCAUGAAGACAACACAAGGAGAGGAAAAAAAGGGCUGAAAAAUGAGAUGUUUGGGCGCAUUCACCACGAAAAUAUUGUAAGAAAACAAAUUUAUUAAUUAAAAUGCUCCCAAAUAUUCUGGCCCAAAUUACUGAAGUCACACAAAAACCCAAGAACAAAGUCUUAUAAAAAAAUAAUUUGAGAAAAUUACAAAUUGUUUUUCACAAGAUCCAAAUCCAGGAUUGAUUUUCAUUAGUAUGCCAUUGGAGUCUACUCACUACGGCUAUGCAGAAUAAAGGACACUCUCCAAGAUUCAAAUUUAAAUAUGAGUGACAACCUACCUACAGUAUCAUGCAAUAUUCUCAUGGUUAUCUGAUUUAUAGCGCGAGGCGAUGUUUAGAGUAGGUACAUAUUUCAGGUUGUAGUAGUAAUAUCUACAAAUGCCAAGCUGCAUAAGUUGCCACAGCAAAUUUUGUCAGGUAUGAGCUUGAAAGAUGUAUAUACAUAGAGAAUAUAAUCUAAUAAGAAAAAGAGAAAGCAACUACUACAUUUGAAGAAAGAAAAAUAAAUAAGGAUUCUCAUAUUUACCAUGUAGUUCAGAAUUAUUUACCAUGUAAGUAAUACCUGGAAAAAGAACUUUCAGUCUCUAAUAUUAAGGCCAUAAACAUCAAUUACUCAAAAAAGGAACAAGAUUUUACAACCUCCUUGAAUAUGGAGGGCAUGGAAUUAUAUCUAAAUUAAGAAUCUAAAGCAAGAGAAUGGCGAAAGCAUAUCAUAUCCGUCAAACUAUAAUCGUGUUCAACAAGCUCAAGAAAUUUUGAGAGGGCCAGUAUCUACCUGGCAUAUUAAGUCACCAACAAGAGUUAGAAUAGCAGAUGUUAUAGCUUUAGUUGUCACCGGAUACUUAUCCAGAGCCAUCAGAUACCUAAAAUGAUAUACAACGGGUAACUAACAAGCUCUCAUAUUCUCCAGGAAAGUGUUGGUUAGUCCCGAAUUUGCUUAUUAGUUGAUAAGAACCCCAGCAAAAUCUCCAUGAAGAUAGCAGUAAUAUUGUAUUUUAACAUAUCAAAUUCUUUAGUGCAACAGAACAAACAGAUUCCAUCACAUUUGCCAACUCAUGCUUUAUUACCGAGAAUUCUAACAGUCAACAAUGACAAUCACUGAGCAUUACCAUUAUCUAAAACAGUUGGUUCCACAAUUAAGACUUCAUUGCACAACUAAAUGAUCAUCAUCAAUCAGCCAUGUUUCCAUAUAAUACUGCAGGAAAAAUAACCAUAUGGAAGGGGAAAAUGGAUAACAUAUUCCAAAAUUUUAUAAAAUAAGAAACAAGAUUGCACCGAUGUUUAAAACAAUUGACAGCAGAAAGAAAAACAUAUCAAAUGCAAAACUGUCUCAAUUACAUGCUUGUAUUUGCCAAUUGCAUUUAUUUUGAAAUUCAUCACACAAAAUAUUCACUCCUAAAUCCCCAAGAGAGAUAAGUUACCAUCUCUUAGACCUUUUUUGUACUAAUCGAAGAAUAUUAAGUUGAAUUCUCUACAGGAAGAAAUAAAAUUGAAGGGAAUACUUCCAUUAGCACCCCUGUGGUUUGAAAAAUGUUACUUUACUACUCUAUAGUUUUGUUUUUGUUUCAUCGAAAGGACCUAUCGUUAAAUAGGGUAGUAAAAUGUUGUAAUUUACAAAUCACAUGGUCAUAAAACAAAAAUUUUAGGCUAUUAAUAAGCUGUAUUCUACCACCUGUAGUUUAUAAAGUAGCAGUUUAUAAUCUCAUGAUUUGUAAAUUGUAUUAUGUUGCUAUCCUAUUCAACGACAAGUCCGUACGGCAAAAACAAAAACAAAAUCAUAAGGUAACAAAAAUGUUACUUUUCAAAUCAUAGGAUGAUAAAAUAGAAAUGCGCUAAACCACAGAUUUUCCCGAAGUUAAAUUGGGGAUCUAAUUAAAGUCAUAAUUUCAUCAAAUUUAUUGUCUUUAAUCACUUUUUUGCAAACGCAACUGGAAUAAUUACCACCUAAUAGCUAGUAGGGACAUUAAAUUAAAUAAAAUUUUCAACUUUACUAACUUAGAAUAACUUAACUCUAAGAAAUCCAAAUUUCAUGUGUCAAAUUAAAAAUAUUUCUGAGGGGGGUCUCGCCACACAUACAGCAAAAAAAAAUGUAUAAAAAAAUUAUCUCUAAUCAUUGUUGGAACAACUAAACUAUAAUAUCAUAAAAUUUGUCCCCAUAAAAGAGGGGUUUUGACCAAAAAAAAAAAAAAAAAAAGUGGAAAAAUUACCAUGAGAGCACUGAUCGAUCACUCCCAUCUUUCCCAUUUUCACCACCACCACCUCCUCCUCCUCCUCCCUCCUCCUCCACCACCACCGCGGGAGCUCCAUCUCCCGACCCCCAAAACCACCACCAUCGGAAACCGCUCGAAGCUUCGCGAAGCCGAAACCCACUCGCCGAACCCAACACCACAAGAAGGAAUUGGGGAAGCCUCGGGAGGAGCGAGUGGGAACCGCGGAGCGGAGAAGCGCUUCUCCCCCAACAAGAAGCGGUUCUGCGGAGAGAGGAGAUGGCUUUGGGAGAGAAGGGGAUGGUGGAGUCGAAGGCGUUGAAUGCAAUGGCGAUUUGCGGAGCGUUGCCGCCAUUGUCGCGCUGCAGCGGAGCAUCGGAGAGAGGGGAGAGAGGGGGAGUGUCCGAUGAGGGUUUGUAAAUUUAUUACCAACAAGGUGUUGUAAUUGCAGUAGAUUCUCAGUUUAGAAAUUUUUAGGGCCGUUUUAGUUUGUUUUAAAACAACAGUGAGAAAUUUACUUGCUACACCAAAUAUAUAUAUAUAUAUAUAUAUAUAUAUAGAGGAGAGAGAGAGAGAGAGAGAGAGAGAGAGAGUGUGUGUGUAUGUGUGUAGAGUUACUAUGCUAUCGGAAAUAUAGAGGAUUUAUACUUCCGACUUUUUGACCUUAUAUCAAGAAUUCUUAUAAUUAGGAUAAUUGUGGUCUCUCAUAAGGUUGAGUAGUAUCCUAAGAUUGAGUGAUCUGCACAGAGUAAUAAAAUUAAUCCAAAAAUUAGAAAUGAUCAAAGAGUUGAUCUAAGAGCCACAAAAUUGGAACUAUCAAUCCUCUAUGCUUCUGAUAACAUAGCAACUUUAACUACUAUAUAUAUAUAUAUAUAUAUAUAUAUAUAUAUAGUCGGACUAGAAUACUAUUGAUAGCAAAAGGUCAUUUUUUACUAUCAAGUUUUUAGCCUAUAGAUCAAUUCCUUUCAUCACUUCUAACCAUUGUAUUAAAUAUUAUAAUCCAGUGAGGAUCACUCAACCCUAAAUAUUAUUCUAACCUUACAAAUUCUCAUCCAAUAGUUAAAAACUUAAUAACAAAAAAGGUCAUUCGCUAUCAACAGUAUUCCAGCCCAACUCUAUAUAUUUAUAUAUAUAUAUAUAGAGAGAGAGAGAGAGAGAGAGAGAGAGUUGAGCUUCUAUGCUUUUAAAAGUACCAAAUUAUUAGUGUUUGUAGAUUUUUGGCUUUUGGAUUAAGGGAUGUGCGGUUAGGAUUAUGUGGGACCUCUAGGAUUGAAUGGAUGGUUGGUUGAAUAGUAUGAUAUAAAAGAUAGAAAUGAUCAAAGGGAUAGAUCUAACAGUAAAAAAUUUACAAGUACAAAGUGUUUGGUAUUUUUACAAACACCAUAGCCGGAUACUCUCUCUUUCUCUAUAUAUAUAUAUAUAUAUAGAUUUUACACUAUAUACUUAACAUUCAAAAAAAUUCAAAUUGUUACAGCAAAAAGGGAAAGGAAAAUUUGAUUGUGAUAAGUAAAAAAUAAUAAUUUUUGGUACAAAAGUACAAGAUAUAUACCCAAUUUUUGGUGUAUACGGACUAUUGCUAAGAAGCAAAAUAAAAGCUCUGUUUGUAUAUUUGAAAAGAGAGUAUAGAUCUUAUACCCCACAUAUUAGGAUUUACAAAAAUUCAAAUUAUCUUUAGUAAAUAAGAAAAAAUUUAAUAUAAUAAGUAAAAAAUGAUAGCCAUUGAAUUAAAAGGCUGUAAAAUGUACGCUUUAGGAUGUACUAAUUGCAUUACUUAGAAAGGAAGAGAAAAUUUAUUUAUACACUCCAAAAAAGCUUGUAAAGAAAAAAAAAGAAAAGAAAAAUGAUGUGAUUGGUAAAGAAUAAUGUCCUUCGGAUUAAAAGAGUGGUAAAAAAAGGUUGUUGCUAACUGUGCAUUUUCACAUAGUUGCAGGGAGUAUAUUUGCAUUAUAUGUAGUGGUGCAAAUCGGUUUGGCCCAGCUCGGAUUCAAUUUCGGGCCCGGCCGUACCAGACCCAAGUUGCCUAUCCUCUCGCCCGGCACAGCCCUUCGGCUUGAAAGGCACGGGCCGUGCCAGGGCGGGCCGUGCUUCGGGCCGGCCUAGUACAGUAUUUAUUUUUUAAUUUUUUUUAAAAAAUUAAGUAUAAAAUUUUAAAAAAUAAACAAUAAAUAUUUUUAUUUAAAUUAAUAUUUUGAUUAAAAUAUUAAAAAAAAUCAUAAAAAUAAUCAUACUAAAAUAAAUACUUAAUUUAAAAAAAAAAAUUGCAUUAUUUUUUUGAAAAAAAAAAGAGAUAGAUUUUUGGUCCAAUGGACCAAAAUUCUUUUGUCCAUUGGACCAAAACCUUCUCCUCCCAAGGCUUGCUAGACAGACCUUAGGAGGAGAGCUCCUUGGGAGAAGGGCACCUCAGGAGCUCAGACCCCAUGGCCCAAGGCAAUUGGAUCUCGGGGUCCAGGCUUGGGCCGCUCGCCUCCCUUCGGCACGAUAUAGCCCAGGCCCGUUUCAGGUCAUACCGUGCCGGGCCGUCGUGCUCCAAAUAAAAGGCCUAGCACGGCCCAGAGCCUCGGGCCAGGCCGGCCCGGCACAAGUGCUAUAAUACUCGAGCCGUGCCGUGCUGUUGCCCGGCCCGAGGCCAUGCCGUGCAGGGCGGCCCACGUACCGCACAACCCGUUUUACAUCCCUAGGAGCAAAAUAGUAGCUUACAAUGUUUGGUGGUGGGAAAUGAAUUUUAAGAGGUAGUUAGGUAGCUUAAUACAAGUGAUUGUGUUUUGGAGUUCUUUGACUCCAACAAAGUUGUUGCUAGGGCUGGUAAUUCAGCUCGCUGCUCGUGAGUCAGCUCAUGUUUGACUUAGAAUGAGCUCGAGAUCGAUUGCUUGUUCAAUAAACAAAUCUAACAUGAGUUGAAUUUUUCAGCUCAAAAGUUUAACAAGCCGAAAACUAGUUAGAGUCAACUCUAACGAGUCGAACAUGAGCUAACUUGCAAACAACAAAUUAGAUUGUCAGCCCUACUAAUGGAUAAAAAGUUGAAAGAAAUUAGAAAAUUAGAAUCUUAAUCUACUAAUUGGUAUUCACAAAAUAUAAUUUUCUUUACAUUAUAUACAGAGAGAUAGAGCUAGACUCUUAUACUAUCUGUAAUACCGAAACUCUGGCACUAUAGUCUCGCUUUUAAUCUUUGAAUGUUCAAAUCAGCGAUCCAUACCGUUAAAACUGAUCUAUUGUAUUUUAAAAUUUUUAGAAAUAAAAUUUUAUAUUUUUUCGAUAUAGUUUAUUUUAUGAUCAAAAUAUUUCAAAAUUGUCAAUUUUCAAUGACUAGUAUGGUGAAUUUAUAGUUUAAAGGUGUAGAAGAAUCUAAAUUUAUUCAAAUUUUGAUAGAAAAUACUUUAAACUAUCAAAAUCAAGAACAACAUCCUUGAUCUUGAAUUUAAAAGUUCUAUCCUCAAAUUUUAAAAAUUGUUCAAUUUCAACCAUUCAUUUUGACAUGAUUUACUUACUACGUAAACAAUGUCGAAAAAAAUCAAAAUUUUAUUUCUAUGAACUUCAUAUACCCUAUAUCAUAUUUAACAGUAUAGAUCGUUGAUUUGAACAUCCUAAUAUCAAAAACGAGAUUAUAGUAUCGGAGCUCCGGUACUACAGAUAGUAUAGUACUCUAAUUCUAUAUAUAUAUCUAUAUCUAUACUCUAUGUAAAAGCAUAUAAGAAUUCUGGCAAUGACAAACGGAAUUCAAAAAGGAAUAAAAUAAUAUCUCUACAUUUCCUACAAACGGAUAUGAUCAGUUUAUUAAAAAAAUCUCAAAUAAGAACAGUUAUGAUCAAUCUGUUAAAAAAUAGCAUUCUUAUCUAUCUAUAAAUCCAAUCCUACGAACAGUUGUAUCAAUUAAAAAUGAACGGCUAUGAUCAAUCUGUUAAAGAUAGCAUUCUUAUUCAUUUAUAAAUUCAAUUCUAUGAACGGUUGUGAUCAAUUAAAAACGAACGAUUAUAAUUAAUCAGUUAAAAUUUUAAUCUAAAUAAAAAAUUAAACUUUAUUAUAAAUUUAAAUUUAAAAAAAGUUUAAAUCGUAAAUUAAAUUUAAUUUGGGUAUCAAAUUUGAACUAUUCAUCAAUUGUGAUUAAUUAAAAACGAACGGUUAUGAUCAAUCUGUUAAAAUUUUAAUUUAUAUCGAGUCUACAAACGAUUGUGAUCAAUUAAAAACAAAUGGUUAUGAUCAAUUAAAAACGAACGGUUAUGAUCAAUCUAUUAAAAAAUAGUAUUCCUAUCUAUAUCUAUACUAUAUAUAUAUAUAAAAGCGUAUAAGAAUAUUUCCUACGAACGUUUAUGAUAAAUUUAUAAAAAAAAAUAUCUCAUACAAGAUCAAAAAUACCCUCAAUAUUUGUAUUUUCUAUCUGCGCAUUUCUCAAAUAUUUUCUUUCUAUCCGCCAAUCACGUAAUAUAUAAAAUUAAAUUAAUAUCCGACAAUCACGUAAUAUGUAAAACUAAAUUUAUCUCUUAUCUACGCAUUUUUUCAAAUAUUUUUUUUUCUCAAAUGUAAUAGCCGUCAAUCACAUAGCACUCAAAAUUAAAUUUUAAAUUUUGAAUUAAGCAUAAAUUAAAUCUAUUAUAUACACUUUCUACGUGUUUUCUUAAAUAUUUUCUUUCAUAGUACCCGCCAAUCACGUAGUGCUCUAAAUUAAAUUUUAAAUUUUACUUUAAAUUUUGAAUUAAAUAUGAAUUAAAUCUACUAUCUACACGUUUUCUCAAAUAUUUUCUUUCUAACAUACCGCCAAUCUUUUCUAACGUAAUUCAUGCCAAAAUUUAAUACUUGCAAAUAUGAUAAUUUAAAAUUUAAUUCAUGAUAAUAUAUUUUCUUACGUGAUAUAGUAGAUUUAAUUUUAGGGUAUUACAUUUUGGCGUGCCAUGUAAGCGUAGAAUAUUACUAAAAAAAUUUAAUACCUGCCCAAUCAAAUGUAAAUCAUUAAUUAAAUAUAAUUUUAAUUUUUUUUAGCAAAAUAUUUAAUGUUUAACUAAUACCCGCUAAAAUAUUCUACACUUAACGUGUUUCUCAAAUAGAGAGCUUAUCUUAAUAUUAUUAAAAAAAUUUAAUAUCUGCCCAAUCAAAUGUAAAUCGUUAAUUAAAUAUAAUUUUAAUUUUUUUUAGCAAAAUAUUCAAUGUUUAACUAAUACCCGCUAAAAUAUUCUACACUUAACGCGUUUCUCAACUAGAGAGCUUAUCUUAUUACUCUCGCAUAAUACUAAUCUACACUAUCUAAUCUUAUCUCAUCAUAAUACUUAUCAUACGCAUAUCUUUUUUCAGUAUUUCCCUAUUUCCAAAAAAGAUAUUUUUCCAUUUCCACCCAAAUCUAUAUUGUUUUUAGUAAUAUUCUUUUUUAUUUGUAUCUUUUUCAAAUAUUUUCAAUUUUUUUUUUACUAAUAUCCUUUCUCAUUUGUCCCUGUCGCUAGCAUCGGCACAUCGUCAUCGUCCUCUUCACUGUCAUCGUCAGCACCAAUGCCGCCACAUUAUCGCCUUCGCCACCUUCGCCACAUUUAGAGAGGUAUUUUGAUUUAACCUAAAAUUUUCUCUUUUUUUUUAUGUGAUUUUAUACUGUUUUAGUAUAUCUCUUUUUAGUAUUUCUUUAUUUUCAUCUAUAUAUUUCUCAAAUAUAAAUUAUAUAUUUUUUCACAUAUAUUUUUCUCAAAUAUUUUUUUUAGUAAUAUCCUUUUUCAUUUAUCCCCGUCAUCAGCACUAGUGCACUAUCAUCAUUCUCCUCAUUGUCAUCGUCAUCAUCGGCGCCGGCAUAUUGUCGUUUUGGGCACUUUCACCACAGUUGGAGAUGUAUUUGGAUCUCACUUGAAAUUCUUUUUUUAAUGUGCUUUUAUACUGUUUUACUUUUUAAGUUUUUUUUCAGAACUUUUAUCUCUCAUAUUGAGAUUGGGGUUAAAUUUAAGCAUAAACAGAAAUAAAAUUAUUAUUUGGAAUUUGAAUUGCUCAGAUUAAAUAUGGAUAAGCCUGCAUAAUUUCGGCCUAUAGCAUAUUUAGAUUUGUACUUAUGACUGUAAUAAACUCACUGGGCUAAACUAAAAAACCAAAAAAAAAAAGAGAAAUGUAGCUAAUUAAUUUGGGCUUGAACUUGCUUAGAUUGUAAUUUGGACUUGAAAUUGCUUAGAUCUGAAAUAAAUUUAUUAGGAAAAGAAAGAUUUGAGUUGAUUUGGGCUUAGGCUUGCUUGGGUGUACUAAAUUAUAUAUACUACUUAUAAAAAAUAAGUUUUAAUUUUUUUUUCUUUUUCAAAAUGCUAUCCCCUAUUAAUAUAAUUUCAAUCACAUACUAACAAUAUCACUCAGUCAAUUUUUAUAGAUAUAAAUCACAGUGGUAUAAUUUUUAUUUCAUUUUUAAAUUAUCAUAAAAUGUAUUAAUUCUUAGUCAUUGGAUAUAAUCCAAUGACCAACGAAUUAAGUAUCUGUCACUUUUUUUUUUACCUACCCUAUCUCCUUAGACUUCUUUAAAAAAAAAAUUCAUGCCAAUGGUUAUGAUUAAUUUAUUAAAAACAUCUCAAAUAAAAAUAAAUAGUUAUAAUCAAUCUAUUAAAACAUAGCAUUCUUAUCUAUCAAUAUAUUAAAUCUUUAAAUGGUUAUGAUUUAACCAUUAAAAUUUUUUAAGUAUAAUGGAUCAAAAUUAAAUUUUAACAAAUUUAAGUUUAUAAAUUUUGGAUAUCACGUUUGAAUUAACAAUUAAAAUAUUUAAUUACGAUGAAUCAAAAUUAAAUUUCAAAUUUUAAAGUAAAUGUGAAUUAAAUUUUAAUAUUUUUAGUUUAAAUAACAUACUUAAAUUUUAAAUUUAUCCAAAUUCAAAAAUAUAUAAAAAUAUUCAAUGUAUAUAUUGAAAAAAUAAUAUAAAAUGUUGCAGAUAUUUUCUAAUAAAAUAUAACAUAUUAAUUUAUAAAACAUAGUUUUUGUUGUAAAUUUUUGAAAAAAAAUAUAAUGUUAAAAAUUUAUAUUGAUUUGAAAUAAAUUAAAAUAAUUUUUUGUGCAUUUGCAUGUACACUCAGCUAAUAUAAUAAACAAGCCGAAGACGUGAUGAAUAUUUUAACUCAAUAUUUUAACAGGCAAGCUCAUGUUUGGCUUGAUUAAUAAACGAGUGAACACAAGGCGACCCCAACUCGCUUGCGUUCGGCUCAUUUGCAGGCCCCAUUUAGCUUCUCAAUAAUAACUUGUGAUAGAAAGCAUAUAUAAUUAGAAAGAGUUUCAAACUUAGCUCACACUAUCUAUAAAAUAGAGAGGCAAUUGCUUAUAUAUCCAUAAAAAGUUUCCGACUUUCUAAUUUACCCCUCUUAGAAGGCUAAUAUUGAAAAUACCCUUUUUAAGUUCCAACUCAUUUCAAAUAUACCCCUAUAGUUAAAACCUGUUAAUAAAUUUUGUUAUCUGUAUAAAAUUACUAUUUUACCCUUUCAAAUAUACCCUUCCAUCAUUACCGACUUUUCUUAUUUGCCCUUAAGUCAGGGGCAUAAAAGUAUUUUGACUUUUGGUCUUUUCAAAUAUACUCCUCUACCAUUACCAACAUUUCUUAUUUACCAUUAAGUUAAGGGCAAAAUUAAUAUUUUAAAUUUUUUUUAACUGUGGUAGAUAUUUAACUCACGUUUAACUCAAGUUAACUUAACGGGUACGGUGGUAACUGUGACAUAUGAGAAGUUUAUUGAAAAGAAAAAAAAAAUAGUGGUAAAUGAGACAUUCCCGAAAUUUCGCAAUUAUCCCUAAAAUAGAAAAUAAAUCAAUGAUGAAAAAAAAAAAUUUGAACCAUUCCCAGACGUUUUGCCUCUUGCUUCGUCUUUUCAUCUGCCUACUUUUUAAUUAAUGUAUUCACAUGGUCUAUUAUCACCUAAAUAAAUCGUUUUUACAAGAAAAAAAUAAUAAAAUAAAAUUUUUUUUACUCUUUUUUUUUCAUACUAGUAUUUAUUCAUGUCUCAUGGCAAUUCAAAAAAUUUUAAAAUUUUUAUUUUAUCAAUCUUCUAUCUUUUAUAGUUUUAACCCGCCGCAAUGCGCGGGUGAUUUCACUAUUACCCAUGGUGACGGUACAAAUGUUAUGUAAACCAGCCCACAGCAAUGCACGCAUGAUGAGAAAUAAACAGUACAUGCAUAUGAUCAUACCAGUCAUAAUAAAUAUAUUAUCGCAAACAGAAGAAAACAGCACUAAAGCACAUUCAGGAUGUGCAGGCAGGAGGCUUUCAAAAGCGCGAGGCAAGUUCUUCCACCGAAGAUGGUCGAGCAGCAACGCACCGCUGAAGCAAAUUCAUUUGUUAGUGUUUUAAGAUUACCUUACCACAAAAGUUGCGUAGAUAACCGCCAAAGUUGGUGUUUACUUGCGUGCCUCUGAAAGCAAGCUGUAUUUACAUGCAGAAAACGUUUUGGAAACAUAUUUUAAUUCUGUACACCUACAAAGUAAUUUGUGGAGCAACAUAUAUACGUGACAAAGUUGUUACUUCCAAUUUAUUCAACAUCGAUUAAGGACAAGUUCCCGAUGAUGCACUGACACGAACUAUCAUGACUAACCCCACGAACCGAUACGAAUCGAUCACUGAUCAGGAAAUUCUAAGAGGUCUCGUGCUUCUCUUGACCGGAGGGAUCGAAAUUCCUGAUCUCGAGUGAUGAGUCAAGCCCGACGUCACCAUUGAAUGGAGCCGGAUUUCCACAAUGCUGAGGUUUGCGCUCGACUGCAUCGAGGAACUCCGUCAUGUCUUCACUCAAUCUAGCCUGAUCAUUAACGAAUUCGUCCGGCCUAGAGAAUUCUUCUGUAGGUGACAUCUCUCGCACACUCGAUUUUGGACCUGACAUUAGUGUACUCAGACAUGAAAACAAGUUAUACCGUGAUCGGUGUUCGAAUAUAUAAAAAGGAUCAAUGAAAUUCGAAUGAAAUUCAAAACACUUGAUGGUGAUUCUUACCAGGAAGCGACUCGUGGGGAAUCGUAGCUAAAAGAUCGCUGACAGUAGGUGAAUUGUGACUUUCGGGCGUCGAUUGAGGUCUCGAAUUAGAUAGUACCUGAUGAACCACUGCUUCCAACAUGCCGUCGUUUUGCGGUGGGACACAUUCACUUUGAACAGAUGUGCUUGGGACAUGAGCUUGAGCAUAAGCAUCAACCGAGUCGAAAGGAAUUGGCAAGGGAAAGAGCUCCAUGGGCUCAUCAAGAAGCCCGUCAAAGGACGCAAAGCCAAAGGAAUUGCCGCAUACGAGCGCGUGAUCAUUCCUGCUAAUAACGGAACUGCAAGAAGGCGCAAAGUUGUUAGUAAACUGGUAAUAAAUGGGCGAACCAAGACCGCAUUCAGGCUCAUCGGAUAAAUGCACGAGUGGUGGAAGUCCGGCAGAGAAUGGAUCUGUCAGUGCAUAAAUUUCUGACUGGAAAUCUUGAACAAGCAUGUUUGCAGGGUGAAAACUAUCCAUUUGGUGGUUAGAAUUCGCGCACUCAUUUAUGCAAUAGGAAAUCUCAGAGCCAUUUUCUUGCGAAAGCUCGUAGGGUGGAUUAAUGCCGCCGUCGAAUGCACCGAGAAUCUGUGUUUGCUGCUGCUGCUCUUCAUUCAACACCUGGAGCUGGACAUUAUCAGGAUAUGAGGCCAGUUUGGCGCGCUUGAGCCUCUUCCUUCUAGUGUUCCAGAAGUUCUUUAUCUCAUUAUCAGUGCGCCCUGGCAACUAAGGAAAGAGUAAGCUGGAAUUAAAGUGUUAAAAACCACAACUGAUGAUCUGAAGGAAGAAAUUAUUCCACUGACACAUGAUACUGAAAGAAAAAGGACUACUACUAUAAGUGCAACAAGAUUAAAAUGGCACAAUAGUUCUUAUUAGUACUUCGAAUCAUCUUUCAUUAUGCAACUUAAAUAUUUCUUGCAGUUUUUCACAAACUGAGCUCAGUUUGUGUCAGCUAAUUAGAUGAAAUAUCCAUUUUAGUCCUACAAUGUACAAUUGGAGCUCUUCUUGUUCCCUAAGGUAGCGUUUGGUUCGGAAACAAAGGAGGGGAAUAAGCCGUUGUUCCCUCUUUUGUUCCCAAACGCUGCGUUUGGUACCCGAGAAUAGUAGUUCUCGGAUUUCUGAAACAAAGCGGUAUAAGGCUGGACUGCUGUUUCACCUUUUCCCUGAAACAAGCUUGUUUUCAGGUGAGAAUAAGGUUAAUUAAAGUCUAAAAAUAAUUUUAAUUAUAAUAUUAAAUAAUUAAUUAAUUUAAUUAAUGUAUUUAAAUCAUUAUUUAUUGCUUAAAUAAUGAUUUAAAUUAUUCUUAAUUUAUUAUUUAUUUUAUUAUUAAUUAAUUUAUUUAUUAUUUAUAAUUAUUCUUAAUUUAUUAUUAUAUACUAUAUUAUCUAAUUAAUUAAUUAUUAAUAAUUUAUUAUUUAUAAAUUUAUUAUUAACUAAUUAAUUUAUAUUUUAUAAUUGUAACUCUUAUUCACUUUGUUGUAAUCCAACCAUCCAAACAGUAUUUAUUUUAUUCCUAUAAACAACUCGUGAAUUUUAACUAAACACUGGCCAAAAAAAGUCUUCAAUAUUGUCGGGGAAUGCUUGCUAAUAUGAUUUAGUCACAUUAUCAUUAAGGUCUAAUGUGGUUAUUGUAGCGCGACAAUGACGGAACUCACACUAUUAAGAUACUAACCGUGCUAAUUAACCAAUAGAUACAUAGGAUCCCAAUAACCCCCAACCAAAAUAUGCAAACAAUUGAAGUAAAAUAAGUAGAAAGAGAAAGCCCGAGUUCAACCAUAUGACAAACAGAUCCAUGUGGUUUACCCGCACUGGACUGCUCCACGAGCACGAAGAAGAUCCAAUUCACCAUCAAAAUGAAAAAAAUUAUACUGAGUUGGAUAGAAAUAAAGGAAUAAAUAUUUUUUAAAAAUUAAUAUUUUUAUUCUUGGAAUAACCUACUAUUCUAAACUACAGAGUAAUAAACAAAAAAUUGUCUUUAAUUUGAUAUUUUUUAUUUUUAUUGCCUGGAAUGACCAUAUUCUUAUUUGAUAAUUUUAGGAAAAACUUCAAAAACCCCCCAUAUGGUUUCGUAGUUUCUCACUUUGCCCCCCUGUGAUUUAAAAUGUAUCAAUUUGCCCCCUAAUGGUUUCAUUUUUAUCUUUUCGGUAGCUUUUUCGUUAAUAUUUCAUUAAAUUAUAUACAAAAAACUUCAGAUACCCAUCUAGAUUUAUCAAAUAUUCACUUUAGUACCCUUUAAUUUUAACUUUAUCACUGAUUUAAGAAAAAAAAAUAAUAAAAUUGAUAAGAAAAAGAGAAAAAAGAAACCACAGGGGGGCAAAUUGAUACAUUUUAAAUCACAGGAGGACAAAGUAAGAAACUACGAAACCACAUGGGGUUUUUUUGAAGUUUUCCCAUAAUUUUAUUAAGAAUAGUUAAAAUAGUAGAUUAAAGUUUAUAGAAUCAAGAUUUGUCCUUAUUUAUAUCUCUUACUUAUAGAAUAUUUAAUAUACGUACAAUAAUGCAUAUAAAAAUAAUAUAUUUCAUAAAAUAUAAAUAAUUAAAAUGUUAUAUAUAUAAUGCUAUUAUAAUCAUAUAAUUACCUUAUACAGAAUACUUCAAUAUUAUUAUAUAAAAUACUUCAACAACAAUAUAUAAAAAUACAUCAAAAAUAAUAUAUGUAUGUAAAUAAUUAAUGACAAUAUAUUUUUGAACAUUAUAUAUUUAUAAUAUAUUUAUAACCUUAUAUAAUAUUUUAUUUUUAUAGUAUAUGGUACAUUAUAGAAUAAUGUCUAAUAUAAAUUUAUAACAUUAAUAAAGAUAAUAUAAUAUAAUAAUAGCACUAGUACUUGUUUUAGCAUUAAUAAUAACAUUGUUGAGGUAAAACAAAUAAAUAAAAAAAGAUUAUGGUUGGCCUGUAAUAUUAAUUUCGACUUAUUCAAUUUUAAUAGGCCUCGUAUGAGCUUAGAAAUUUUUGAAUAUAAACAUAAUUCGGGCCCAACAAUAAUAAUCCAAACCCGUUUAAAAGGUUCCACAUAUGAGCACACUCAUGUGGGCCUCAGAAAAUCCCGUUGAAUUUUCUUUUAGUCUAUCGAAAAAUUCAGGCUUCAUUUCAGUCUAACGAAUAUUAUUAUUUGGGCUCAAUUGAUUUGGAUUCAACCCGACCCAUUGGAUGCAUGACAGCCCAUAUCUGUAUCCACAUUCGAAAAUUUAAUUUUUUUAAAACAAUAUAAUAUGUUCAAAUUCAAUUUUAAAUUUUUUUAAAACACCAAUCAAUUAGAAAAUAUCUCUUAUCCUAACGAUCUCAUAUAUAUUCUUUUUCAUUCAAAAUUCAAUUUCGAAUUUUGAAUCACCAACCAACUCCAUAAAUAUUCUUUUCUCAGCCAAUCACAUCCACAUUCUAAAAUUCAAGUUCGAAUUUCAAAAAAAAUUCAAAUUUUUUAACUGACUUCUCAAAAUAUUUUUCACCCAACCCCACAAAUCGCUUCACUCUCAAAAAUAUUUCAGAAACUAUAAAUAAAGGAUAAGAAAAGAUAACACAAAGAGAGCACAAAAAAAAAGAAAAUCUCCCUCCCUCUCUUCCCUUAUAUAUAUAUAUACUAGUGUUGGGCCCGCGCUUCGCGACGGGUAAAUAAUAUUUUAUCAAAUUUAAACAUUUUAAUUUAUACAAAUUUUAAUAAAUAGUUUGUAGUAUUUUAGAAAAUUUAAAAAUUUUAAUUUGUACCCAAUCCAAACGGGCCUAAGUGUAUCAAAUAUGAUACAGGAGAUUAUUUUCUGCCUAUAUAAAAAUAUGCAUUAUAUCAUAUAUAGGUGAUAAUAAAUUAUCUAUAGAUGAACAUAUCAAAUCUUUGUGGCAUAGUAUAUUAAAAAUUAAUAUAGUCUUUACUUCCUAAAGGGAAAAAAUAAAAAAAAAACUAAUUGGUUAACUGACACUAAGUUUUUAAUUGAUUAUCUUCUUCUCUAAUCAAAUGAAUAUAUUAAUUUGAUCGGAUUAAUCUACUUUUUCGAUAAAGGAUAAUGAUGCAAAUUGGCUAAAAAAAUAAAAAAUUGGGACACUAUAAAUGCAUGACAAAGAAAAGGAAAAGAAGAAUAAAGUAAUCUACUAUAUUGGAAAAACAAGAAAAGAAACAAUAUUAUAGACCAAAAAUCUAAUAAAUUUUCCAUUCUACUUUAGUCGAUAUUUAUAGUGUGCUUAUAAUUGAAAAUUUUUAUAACUGUUAUCUAUGAAAAAGAAGAGACAAUAUAGAAAGAGUAAAUGGGGAAUUUAAUUCUCUUAUUUAAUUUUUAUUAGAUGAACUGUCAAAUUAAAAAAAGCAUUAUUGGAAACUUUAUUUAAAAAUUCCACUCUUAGAAAGAAAAACGGUCAAAUUAAAUGUGCAUUAAUUUAGAAAUUUUUAUUUGUUUAAAGUAGAGCAUGAAGCUAAUUACUUUCAGCUACUAAUUAUGGAAGCCAAAAAGAUUAUUAUAUAUAUAACAACAUUGGAUUAAUUAUAUGUAUUAAUUAUAUAUUAAACUAUAGUUAUUAUUGUGAUUAUAUAUCCAUAUCAGUUACUGAUCAUUAAAUUUUUCAUUUUGUUCUUUCAAAAUAUGGUAAGAAUUAUAAAUUAUAGAUAAGAAGUGGUUUAAUUCAAAGAGGGGCUGUAAGAAUGAAAGAUAACUUGCCAUGUGACAAGAAUUAUUGUGGCUUCAUAUAUAUAUAUAUAUAUAUAGCAGGGCUGCUGUGCUCCUAAGCCGUUUUCGAUGAUGGAGUUUCCGAAUCAACGAUCGGCUCCAUUAAACUUGAUCUAGCGUAUUUGAAGCUUCUAGAAAAUAAUUUUUGUAAUUUUUCGAUAUCAUUUACCUAGCAAUCGAAAUGAUUCAAAAUCAAUAAUUUUUAAUGGCUGAAAAUAAAAUUCUAUAAAAAAUGGUGAUAUAGCACUAAAAUUUUCGAUCGGAAAUAUUGAUCUUGUUGUAGAUAGUAUUAAAAAUUUUGUAUCAAAAUUUUAUCUGAUUUGAAUACUUUUACACCGUUAAACUUGAAAACGGCAGAUAUCAACCAUUAAAUAUUAUGGAUUUUGAAUCCUUUCGAUCACCAGGUAAAUGAUAUCAAGAAGCUUUAAAUACGCUAGAUCAAGUUUAACGGAGCUGAUCGUCGAUUCGGAAACUCCAUCAUCGAAAACGGCUCAGGAGCACAGAGGCCUCCGUGCUUCUGAGAGUACAGCAGCCCUGCUAUAUAUAUAUAUAUAUAUAUAUAUAUAUAUAUAUAUAUAUAUAUAUCAAAAUAAAAAAAAACUCUUUUUCUCCCCCCCCUUUUUUUUUUUUAACCCUGCAUAGGUCAUGCCACUAUCGUCAUCUACACUAUAGUCAUCUUCAACCACAUCGGUUUGACAUUUUCGAAGGAAGAGGAGAGGGGAGCCAAUGAUUUUCCGUUUUUUCGGACCCUUCAACUCUUUUCGAGAAUGUUAAAUCAAGCAUGCCGGGUAUCAUCAUCUAUGCGACCAUUGUCAUCUACGCUGUAGUCAUCUUCAACCUUGUCCGUCCGUUUGACGUUUUCGAAGAAAGAGGGAAGGGGAACAAAUGGUUUUCCGUUUCUUCGAACCAUUCGACUUCUUUUGAGAACAUUGAAUCCCUCACACCAGCCAAAAAAAAAAAAAAAAAAAAAAGGGAGAAAAAGAGAGAAAACACAAAAAUUCUAUUGCGAAUGAUUUCUUCGGACAAUCGUACUCAAAAUUCAUUCAUUUUGACUCAAACUGAUGAUUUCUUCGGACAUUUGGAUUUUAGUUCAAUCAAAAUUGCAAUAAGAUUAAAAAGAGAAUUUUUUCCGACCCCAAAUUAAAAUUGUAAUUUUAAAAAGAGGAUUUUUUCAGACCCCAAAUCAAAAUUGCAAUUUAAAAAGAGAAUUUCUUCGGAUCCCAAAUUUAAAUUGUAAUAAAUCAAAAAAAAAAUUUUCUUCGGAUCUCAAUUCCAAACAAAAUAAAUUUAAAGGUGUAUGCAAAGCAGCUCAUAUAGCCUUAACCCAAAUCUAGCCCAAAUCCAAUCCACUUAAAAAUAAGAUCCAAAAGCCAUAAAACCUAAACCCAUAAAAGCACAAAUUCAAUCAAAUCCAUCAUAAAAGCCCAAAUACAAUUUAAUUACCAUAAAUGCCCAAAUCCAAUCAACUCCACCAUAAAAGCCCAAAUUCAAUCUAGUCCACCAUAGAAGCCCAAAUCCAAUCUAGUCCACCAUCCAAGAGCCCAAAUCCAAUCUAGUCCACCAUCCAAGACCCCAAAUCCAAUCAAAUCCACAAAAACAACCAAGUCCAUAUCUAAUCCACUAUAAAAAUUUGAGCUCAAUCCAAUCUACCAUCCAAAAACCCAAAUCCAAUCAAGCGUAACCCAAUCUAACCCAAACUCAACUUCAAACAUGAACUUUUACCAUAAACCAAUUUUUUUUUUUUUUUUUUUCACGGAUUAUGAACCAAAUCCCAUACCCAAACCCUAUACACCAAUCUUAUGAACUAUGCCAAAACUUUACAAGCAAAAUCACACCCAAAUCUCAUACAUCAAGUUCUAUCACGAAGCCAACCUCGUCAUGGGUCUCGACCUUUUGCUCUACUACAUAUAACUAGAGUAAAAGUCAAAUCAAAUUCGACUAAUUCUAACACAUAUAUUUAAGGUCUAGUCAAUUUUUUGUUCUAGCGCAUAUAACUAAAGUGAAAGUCAAAUCAUCUGACUAACCCUAACACUUAUACUUAAAAGGGUAUAGUCAACCUUUUGCCCUAAUAUAUAUAAUUAGAGUGAAAGUCAAAUUAAAUUCAACUAAUCCUAGCAUAUAUACUUUGAAUCUAGUUAAUCUUUUACUCUAACACGUAUACCUAGACUAGAAGUCAAAUCAAGCCCGACUAGUCAUAAUAUAUAUAUUUAGAGUCUAGUUAGUCUUUUGCUCUAGCCUAUUUAUCUAGAAUGAAACCCAUAAAUAAUCAAACUCUAAUACAUACACUUAGAGUUCAUUAAAAUCAAAUCCAACGAACCCUAACGCAAUACCUUAGAGCUUAGUCAGAUUCUCACUUUAGCACAUAUAACUAGAGUGAAAAAUAUAUUAAACUCGGUUAAUUCUAAUACAUACACUUAAAAAUUAGUCACUCUUUACCUUCGGAUAACUUCAAACCCGACCUACCUCAAGACAUAUACUUGGGGUUUGGUCCAUCUUUACCUUAGCACAUACAACUGAGGUGAAAUCAAAUAUAAUUGGACUCUAAAACAUACUCUUACAACCAAUUAGACUCUAAUACAUAUAUUUAUAGUUUAAUAUCGACUAGGUCUUAUUACAUAUACUUAGGAUCUAGUCAACUUCAAAUUCAACUGAAUCCUAACAAAUACACUUAGAAUUCAGUCAAUCAUCAAGAUAUGAUUCAUUCCAUCCUCACUAUAAAAGUCUCCUAAUCAAAGGUAACCUAAUGGCAGGGGGUAAUUAAUAAUAGAUACUUGCGUCUAUUGGAAGCCAUGAAUUCGCAAUACCUGAUAUCCAUAUACAUAUAAUACUAAUCUGAAUCAUAAAUACUACCUCACGAAAAAUCCAAACAAAAAAAGAUCGACCAUGCGAGGUGUGUCAUUCGUGGUGGCAGACAAACAUUAAUAAGAAUAAUAACUACUAUUAGAACAAAGUUACUAUACUUUCGAAAGUACAAAGGAGUUUGUGCUUCCAACUUUUUGGAAGUUGGAUCAACUCUUUUGACCAUUUAUGAUAUUUGGAUUAAUAUUAUUAUCCUAGAGGGACCACUCAUCUUAGGAGAACCGGUUACAAGAUGAUCUAAAGUCCAGAAAAAAAGACUCUCUCCCGGUCGGUUUUGAUAGAUUGUUAACCCCGCUUCUUAGGUUUGGUCGAGGAUGGGUUCUUCCGGCUGUUGUGGUUUGACUUCCUUUUUCACUUUUUUUUGGUGGCUCCUUGAUUUUGAUGAUGGAUGAUCAUCGGGGGUGGACAUCUAUAUUCGGAACUAGCUCUGGUGAAAACUCGAUUGGCUCUUUCAAAGUGAGCAUAAAUCAACCAGCAGCAAAAGACGAUGACUCUUAGAAGAUAAGGCGACUACCUUAGACCUUGCUCGCAAAGAUUAUCCACCUUCAGCAGGUCAACAACUCCAUUCUGGUUCUGGGUGAGAGGGGUCAAGGUGGCAUGCCACCUCUUUGUGAAAAUGCCCCACCCCAGAUCUUUGCAUGUAGAUCUGGAGAUUACUGGUCGGAAGAUGCGUGGAAAGAGAGCGGCGGCUCCCUGCUGGAUCAGAAGAUCGAAAAGCACAUGAUUUUUUAAAGGAAAGGUCAAUAGCUACAAAUAGUGACUUCUCAACUGGCGAAAGCACCAAUUCCUUUACACUUUUGAAAGUAUAGUAGCUCUACACUUAUUAUUAUUAUUAUUAUAUUACUAUUACUAUUGAACAUUAUAAAAUAUUUUAAUGUAUCAUAUAUAUAAUAUAAAAUACUUUUAUAUUACUUUAAGUACCUUUAAUAAGCUAAGUAUAGAUAUCCCGGUCCGACUGAAAUAACUAUUCUUGCUAUUUUUUAGCUUCAUUUAGUUCGGAUAUAAGUAAGAAUUGCUUAUUUUAUGGAUAAAUACAAGUUCAUUAUAUAUAGAAACUAGAUCAAUUUUGCAUUUGGAUGCAAAUUGGGUUGUUCUGAAAAUAAUGUAGCAGUGUUUGAAUAGUUAGAUUAGUACACGGGGAAGAAGAGUUACAAUUUUAAAUUAAAAAUAUUUUAUCUAAUUAAUUAACAUAAAAAAUAUUAAUUAAAAAUAAUUUAGUAAACUAAUAAAUUUAUUAGCUAUGAAUAUUGUAUGAGAUAAUAAAAAUAUAUUAAUUAAUUAAUUGAAUACAAAAAUAAUUUAACUGUUUAAUUAGAUAGUAAAUUAUUUUAAUCAGAUAAUUAGUAAAGAAAUUAAUUAGAUUAUUCAAAAUACUAAUGGUUGAUCAAUAUAAAUACUAGUUUAUGAAUAAACACAUUAAAAUAUUAAUUUUAAUUAGCUAAUUAAUUAUCAUUAAUUAAUUAAUUAAUUAUUUAUUUAAGUAAUAGAUAAUGAUUUAGCUACAUUAAUUAAAUUAAUUAAUCAUUUAAUAUCAUAAUUAAAUUUAAAUUUAAAUUUAUUCUCACUUAAGAAAAAACUUGUUUCAGAAAAAAAGAGUGGAAAAAAGAUGAACAAUAGUUCCA
rnacentral:lncRNA from 1 species